ACAGGAGCCCCAGCCCCACACAGCAACCACCCGGGCGAGAAAGAAAGAAAGAGCCAGGGAGGCGGGCGAAGCGCGGGGAGAGAAGCAGAGAAGAAAUAUUCACCUUCCCGCCUCAUGCCCACUUUGAGGCACUUCUUGAGGCGGCAGUAUUGGCACUGGUUGCGGUGGUGCUGGUCGAUGGGACAGUUCCUGUUGGCACGGCAUGUACAGGGACUGAGAAACGGAAAUACUACCAUCCUCCAGCCAAUCUGUUGGGAGGACUGCUUGCAGAGGACUCGUGCUCCAGAUGUUGCACUAGAGGCGCUGCAAGUGUGAGCAGCAGGUAGAUGAAACUCAAGAGAAAAGGUGUGGAUAAAUGAAACUAGCCCAUGAUGAACCUGUUUUCUCCGUGACCACAAUAUUAACCAGGAUGAAUGGCGGUGGCAGUGGGCCUGCAUCACAGGUUGCAGCAGAUGUUCUCAAUAUUUCUAUUAAAAUUUCCUUAUUUCCAUAUGCAAGAGGAGCCCCAGAGCUGCAUCCUUAUGGUAGCUACCAUGCCGUGAUGUAAGCUGCCAUUCACUGGGGAGCUUUGGCAAUAGAAUUGGCUAGAUCAGGAAGCCUAUGUCAACUAUGGAACAACAACUUGCAGCUCAUCUCUAUUGAUGAUGGAAUCUCGCUAUGUCACCAGGCUGGAGUGCAGUGGCGCAACCUCGGCUCAGCGCAACAUCCGCCUCCCGGGUUCAAGUGAUUCUCCUACCUCAGCCUCCUGAGUAGCUGGGAUUACAGGUGAAACAGUCGCAAAUGGAAUUCCAAGAAACAUUCUAUGUAAGUCCUGGCUUUGAAAUACUUUGUCAUCCUAAGAAGCUUGGACUUUAUCCUGUCAAAGAAAUGACAAAUCAGAUCAUUCCAGCUGCAGUAUGGAGAAUAGAGUGAAGUGGGGUAACACUGGUUUAGUGGCACAAAUUAAGCAUCUACGUAAGAGAGGAUAAUGACCUGAACUAGGGUUAAAGUAGUGGGGAUGGAGAUAAAUAGAUAGUUUGAGAGAAAUUAAGCAGAUAGAAUGACUAGGACUUGGCAGUUGACUGGAUAUGGUGGGCCUGGUGAAUGAGAGGCAGGAGUCAAGAUUGAUGGUCAGGUUUCUGACUUGGGCAGUGGGUAUAUAGUGAUGCUUGUACGAAGAUUGAGAAAGUAAAAGGGAAAGUAAAUAUCAAGCAGUUUCAAGCAGCAGUCAGCUGCUGGGCUGGCUCACCACACUUCUGUAGAUUCCGUUGAAAAGGAGACAAUGAGCCUAGAUAGAUUUAGACAGUUUAUUACUCAAAGCAAAGUAGGCAGCAUGAUCUUCAUGCAUCUAUGAAUUCCCCAAAUCCCAUGAUACAGAGUGAGGCCCAGACAGAUGCUGUGUACACGGUGGACCUGUGUCCUCCCAAUCUUAUAAGAGGCUACUUGCAAACUUGCCCAAAAUCAUUGUCCUGGAGGUUGACAUUAUCUUUGUUAUGCUGGUCAGGAAACAAAUGUACCCUCUAACCCAGAAGCAUAUCCUGUCUUUACUCAGAGACAAAUAAAAACACCAUGGACAAUUACCUUUCAACAGUAAGAGAAUGCUUUCCAUUUUGGACAUAAUGAAUUUGAAAUGCCCAUGAUAUCUAAAUAAAGGUAUUCAGUAGAUAAUAAGCUGUUUUGAAGGAAUAUUUGGUAUAGUGUUUAUAGAAAUGAGAUAAUAAAACAAUAAAAUAUAUAAACUUUGGCUAUGUUAAUAACGUGAUAGUUGCUUGUAAGAUAGUUACAGCAGGUGGUUACUGUGUUGCCUAAUUAAACAUCAUGAUAGAAUCUUAAUAUGUGUAAAAUUUAUAAUUUUAUUCAUCACAAACUGAAUUCACCUAGGCUUAGUCCUCUGCUGCUUUUGAGGUUUGAUGAUCUGCUAACAAUCUCAGAAAAUGAGAGAGUUGUGUGGUGGCAGUAUAUUUAUAACACACUAUGGAACUGGCCUUAUAACUGUGACUUUUGCCUGCUUUUAGUCCAGACCAGCCCUCUUCAAUAGAAAUAAGAUAAAUGCAAACAUCAAAUGUGAGCCACAUACAUAAUUUAAAAAUUUCUAGUAGCCACAUUAAAAAACCUAAAAGGAAGCAAGUGAAAUUAAUUUUUAUAAUAUACUUUAACCCAAUAUAUCGAAAUAUUGUUUCAACAUGUAAUCAACAUAAAAUUAUUAGUGAGAUAUUUUACAUUUUUUUCAUGCUAAAUCUUUGAAAUCCGGUGUGUAUCUUACAUUUACGGCUUAUCUCAAUUUGGACUUGACACAUUGCAAGUGCUCAAUAGCUAUGUGUAGCUAUUGACUACUAUUUUGGACAGUGCAAUUCUAGACCUCAAGAACAAGAAGUUAUAUUUUAUCAUGUAUGAUGAAUAUAGUUUUUCUUUGUAUGUUAGAGGACUAAAUACUGUGGUAUGUUUUUUAUCUUAAACAAUUGAAUACCAAGAAUAGCUAACAUUAUAAUGAAAAAACAAAUGGUCAGUGAAUUUACAUGGUAUUUAAUUUUUUUUUUUUUUUGGAGAUAAUGAGUUUCACUUAAAAUCAGCUAGGUAUUACUGUGUCUAAUAUAGGCAUCUUGGAAGGUAAAUUAGGGCUGUAGGUUGUAUCAUUAGGUCCUUGAGUGUAAACCUCUCCAGGAUUUCACUAAGUGGACCAGGUAGUCAGGUGAUUUAAAUUAUAAUUAAUGUUCAUCCUUUACCCUUGGGAAUAUAUUACGUGUUGGUAGAAUUUGUUCCAUUAUUUUAUAUAAUGAGGUGCCUCAUAAUUUUGUGGCUUGUGAACAAAUGUUCACAUUUGUGAACUUAUUUACCAUGUUGACAAAUGUAUUGGCUUUAUAGUACAGAAGCAUCUCAAAAACCUAAAAGAUUUCUGUUAAGUAAUUUAAUGAAAAACAGACAUUGAUGGGAAAAGUCAGCCAUCCUAGUGCCCUCAAUACAGCAGUUGGAAAUAAUAUACUUUUGAAUGUCUGAAAUAUGUUAGUGGUUUUAGAAAAAGACUAGGUAAGUCAUUUGAGAAACUUAAGAAGACCUAAGAAACUGGCAAUACAUGGUAAUAGCUUACUGAGUUUGCUUUGGGUAAACUCAGUAAGUCAUGGAACUUGCUAUGCAUUUUGGUGGGGAUACCUUUAAUUCUAAUUGGUGAAAUGCAGUCACUUUGAAUUGUAUGUUGAGGGAAUGUUCUCAGGGAAAAGUGAGUUUCUGUGUUGAAUGACUAAGUGAAAGCACUUGACUAUUUGUAAAGCCUGUGGGUAUCUCUUUGAUGUUGAUUAUUAUCUGUGAUUGUUUGUUGAGGGUUUUCUGUUUGUUUUUUAAAACACUUGGGAAAAGCAAAUGGUGAGUGUUACAAUUUAAACAGAUUUUCUUUUAGAGAAUGUUCUGUAGGAAAAGACAAAUAGUUCUACUUGAUCCUUGUUUGUUGAUGCUUUUAUUUGAUUUCAUAUUUAUUGAUACAAACAGCUUUAAACAUUAGAUUAAUUCUAUAAUAAAGUGAUACAGAAGUGGAUGUGUUAUGGGGAAUAGUAUUGAAUAAAGAAGACAGAAGCAGUA
rnacentral:lncRNA from 1 species